AGCGAACGCUGGCGGCAUGCCUAACACAUGCAAGUCGAACGAGACCUUCGGGUCUAGUGGCGCACGGGUGCGUAACGCGUGGGAACCUGCCCUUAGGUUCGGAAUAACUCCCCGAAAGGGGUGCUAAUACCGGAUAAUGUCUUCGGACCAAAGAUUUAUCGCCUUUGGAUGGGCCCGCGUGGGAUUAGCUAGAUGGUAGGGUAAAAGCCUACCAAGGCGACGAUCCAUAACUGGUCUGAGAGGAUGAUCAGCCACACUGGGACUGAGACACGGCCCAGACUCCUAGGGGAGGCAGGAGUGGGUAAUAUAGGAAAGUGGGGGGAAGGCUGAUCCAGCUAGGCCGCGUGAGUGAUGAAGGCCUUAGGGUUGUAAAGCUAUUUUACCCGGGAUGAUAAUGACGGUACCGGGAGAAUAAGCUCCGGCUAACUCCGUG
rnacentral:rRNA from 1 species